rnacentral:rRNA from 1 species
AACGAACGCUGGCGGCAGGCCUAACACAUGCAAGUCGAACGAGAAGCCACCCUCGGGUGGUGGACAGUGGCAGACGGGUGAGUAACGCGUGGGAACGUGCCUUUCGGUUCGGGAUAACCCAGGGAAACUUGGGCUAAUACCGGAUACGCCCUCCGGGGGAAAGAUUCAUCGCCGAAAGAUCGGCCCGCGUCGGAUUAGCUAGUUGGUAGGGUAAUGGCCUACCAAGGCGACGAUCCGUAGCUGGUCUGAGAGGAUGACCAGCCACACUGGGACUGAGACACGGCCCAGACUCCUACGGGAGGCAGCAGUGGGGAAUAUUGGACAAUGGGCGAAAGCCUGAUCCAGCCAUGCCGCGUGGGUGAAGAAGGCCUUAGGGUUGUAAACCCCUUUCAGCGGGGAAGAUAAUGACGGUACCCGCAGAAGAAGUCCCGGCUAACUCCGUGCCAGCAGCCGCCGCGGUAA